AUGUACAUUCCUACAACACAAUGUUAAUGCACUGAAUCCCAUUAGAACUUUGCAAUUAAGUGCGCUCAAGCUAGAGUAGUACUUGGAUGAGUGAUUUCUUGGGAAGUCCUAGUAUUUUACAUG
rfam:Picea glauca, whole genome shotgun sequence.